GAUGAACGCUGGCGGCGUGCCUAAUACAUGCAAGUCGAGCGAACAGACGAGGAGCUUGCUCCUCUGACGUUAGCGGCGGACGGGUGAGUAACACGUGGAUAACCUACCUAUAAGACUGGGAUAACUUCGGGAAACCGGAGCUAAUACCGGAUAAUAUAUUGAACCGCAUGGUUCAAUAGUGAAAGACGGUUUUGCUGUCACUUAUAGAUGGAUCCGCGCCGCAUUAGCUAGUUGGUAAGGUAACGGCUUACCAAGGCAACGAUGCGUAGCCGACCUGAGAGAGUGAUCGGCAACACUGGAACUGAGACACGGUCCAGACUCCUACGGGAGGCAGCAGUAGGGAAUCUUCCGCAAUGGGCGAAAGCUUGACGGAGCAACGCCGCGUGAGUGAUGAAGGUCUUCGGAUCGUAAAACUCUGUUAUUAGGGAAGAACAAAUGUGUAAGUAACUAUGCACGUCUUGACGGUACCUAAUCAGAAAGCCACGGCUAACUACGUG
rnacentral:rRNA from 1 species